CUCCUUCUUGCCACUUGCUGUGGUUUGAAUGUAUUUACCAAAAUUCACAUAUUGGAAGACACAUUCCCCAGUGCUACAGUGUUGGGUGGUGAGGCCUAAUAAGAGAUGAUUGGGUCCUGAGAGUGGAGCCCUCAUGAAUGUAUUAAGUCACCUUGGGAAUGGGUCAGUUAUUGAGAGAGUGGGUUGUUAUAAAAGCAAGCCCAGUCCCUCAUGCUUUCUCUUUUAUACUCACUUACCCUUCUUUUCUUCUGCUGUGGGAUAAUGAAGCAUAAAGGCCCACACCAGAUGCCUGUGCCAUACUAUUGAACUUCAUAGCCUCCAGAAUGCCCAGGUUUGUCACGGCAUGGAACAUCUUGCAUGGCCCAGAGAGUUUCAAGGAAUCCCGGGAACUGUGAGUGUCAGAUCCUGAAUUCCAGCAGAAUGGCUGCCAUCAACCAGUUUGAAGACCCUCACAGAAGAACCCAAUCAGCAUGAGAAUGUAGUUCCUUUAUCUCCCAUCCCAUAACUUCACUUUGCACUCUUCAACCAAUCAACAGUCCCCAUACUUUGGCCCACUACUCUUUCAAAGUCUUUAAAAUCCCUAGCCUCAUACUCCGCGGAGUGGCACAUUUGGGGUUUCCUCCCUUCUCCUCAUACAGCUGCUUACCAUUAAACCUCUUUCUGUGUGCCU
rnacentral:lncRNA from 1 species